UUCAGUAAGAUGAAUUCUAACUGAAGGAGCAUGAGCAAUGACUAUAUUAAACUUCAGUGAUGCAUAACAUGUCAAAUACAAAUUUACCCAAACCCUCUGCUCACACAAAUCUAGCUCUUGAAUAAAGCUGCAUGUUGUAUAAAAACACUUUUCUUUUAUAACUCUGGAACUAGAGGCUAAUAAACAGAAUAUCUCUGAAUUUAAUUUAAUUUAAAUGAGAAAAAUGUUGGGCACCUCAGCAGGUAUCAGUCUUUUAAAAUAUAUACCUUUGUAUUUACGAUUGAUCUGUAAACUGUAAGAUUGAGUAUGGACUUUAAUUUCUUUCUGCUAUAUAUUUCCAGGGCAGAACUUACCUGCUUGCUAUCCUAAUCUAAAAUAUCUGCAUUAGCCCAGGGCUAAGCAACACAGUGUCUGUAGGUACCAAUAAGUUCUGAAACAUCUCCCUUGGAAUCUCCUAACAUAUUUGAGAAAAGGUUUAAUCCUUCCCCAUUUGGUCUUUGCAGUGCAUGGAACAUUUACGACUUCAGUUCUGAAGUGACUCAAGAUAUUUAAGCCUUUCAGAUAACAUUACAAUGAGUGUUACGAUUCUCUGUCCGUUGGCUCAGUCCUGAUUGUUUGUCCCAUGCUGCUCCACUUCUUUUCUCUCUGUACUAUCUUAGCAUACUGCUGUGCCAUAUUGCUACUGCCCUGUCCCCAUGCUAGCAGCAGAUUGGGCUUCUAUUAGGCUGCAAACCUAAACACAUGCAUAAAGGAAUAGAUCCCACUGAACUUAAUGCAGCUGUCAUCUGAGUAAAUACACACCAGAUUGCACUGUGCAGGGGUUCAGACACAAUUUAAAUAAAAUCACCACUUUUAUGAACAGUAGCUUCUUGUCUUUGAAUUGUUAAAGAAUACAUACCGACACCUUUACCUAUCAGACAAUUUCACAAUGUAACAUUUUUUAAGUGUUUGAAUUUGUUUUCAUAAAUUAGAUGAAAUUUUUAUAAUGCAUGUUUAUUUUACGCAGAACAAAAGCUCAUAAAAGCCUCUAUCGGCUAUGUUCUAGACAAGACAGAUACAUGUCGUGUGAAUACGUGCAGUCUAGAUUUCUGCACAGUCCUUCAGGUACUGAAAUGUUUGCUCAAAUAUUGAGAGAUGACUCCAUCAGACUUUCAAUUGCACAAUUGAAAGAGAAUGGGUAUCCACCCAGUCUUGCAGUAUCCAUUUUUUCCCAAUCAUAAAAGCAUGUAAUAACCGUGUCUCCUCUUACUAGUUUUCAAGUGAUGAGUAUUUAAUUCAAAAGAAAAUACCUAAAAGGCAAUCAAGUCUUCCAGAACAAAAUUCAUGUGAAAUACCCUCUGCCUAUAAGAAUAUUUCAGUAUACAUAACUGAUUUGUAUAUUUAUACCGAACUGUUUAUCUUCUUCACUAGGUUUUAGUUUUUCACCUACGUUAUUUGAUGACUAACCAGUUUUUGCUUUCCAUUGCAUCGAAUUCUGAGCUGAGUUGGUUCAAAACAAAUUAAACUAUUUCUUCUUUUACUACCAAGAUUCCUGUGGCGUUAUAAAGCAUUCAUUCUAUUACUUCUUCCUUUUCCAUUUCUCCAGUAUGUCUUCUGCUUGUUCUUUUAACUAGUUAGACUGCGUAUUCAAUUCUCAAGAGAUGGCACCCUGCAUUGUAGAGUAAAGCGUGUGAAACAGCUGGUAUGGGAUUCUAAGUUGAUUGAGAAUUAUGCAGUUUAAAUGGUAGAGGAGAAUAGAAGUCGAAGUGCCAUAAUGUUGAAGGUGUUCAGCUAAAGAAUUUGUUUUUGAAAAAUAAGCACAUGCAUUUUUAAAUUGUGAAUAGCCAGUACUGUACUAUAUUUCAGUGAUAGCCAGGAUGUCUUGAUAUCUUAAGUGUUUACAUUUGGAAAGACAACUGGCGACAGAAAAUAGUUCCAAUAUUUGUUAGUUGUAUCCAGGAAGGAAUGUAGAACAUAAGGCCUUUGAUUAAAAUUAUGUAUCUUAUCCAGAAACAUAGGCAAAAGAAGCCAAUGCUACUUAAGACUUCAUUAAAGAUACAGACACAUAUAUUUGCUUAAAUAUUUUGUUGAUUUUGUUAUCUCUAAAUUCUUGCAUUCCUUUCUAGUAUAAAAACACUGGCUUGUUUUUAACUGAUCAAAAUCUCCACUAAUUUAUAGGCAGGGAAAGAAGUUUAAAUCCAUGGUCCUUUUAAGUAAGAGGGGAAAAUGUGAAAAAUCAACUUUGCUAAAAAUAAUAAUGGCCCCAAUUCCUUCAGCAUGCUAACAUGGCUCUGGCAAGCUGGCAUGAAAGUGAAGACAGGAUCCUCCACUGAGAAGUAAAGUUGGCCUGAUUUCAGAGUCUGAUUUGAGAUGUAUUCAGUAAGACUGAGAGACUGUCCUCUCCUGAUAGAAAUGGAUAGAUUCACUCCCUGAGUCAGCUGAAGAUAGCUUGGGGCAGCUCAUUAUCUUGCCUGCAGAGUAAAUGUAGACAGUAUGAAAAUGCAUUUAAAAUGUUUGGAUCCUUGUAUACAGGAUUAACCUUGCUGACAUCCUAAUAUUGCUGAUUUACACACUUGAUUCCCCCAUCCCUUUUUCUUCAGCAGACAAGAAUUUCUGUCAUGUAUUUAGUACAUGUGUUAACAAGUAAAGAUGAGGAGGGGAAACUUAAAUGCAGCGUAAUUGGCAACCAUAAGUCGUUAGAACUGUGGCUCUCAGUUGAUGUAAUAAAUUUAGCUCUUCCUUGCAGACUAAAUAUAAAAACUUGAGUCUGCUUUCUUAGUGUAUUGCAGUUUCUUAAACACCUGGAUUGAAAACUGUAAUAAUGAAAACAAGAAUGUAGACUAAAUUGAAUGGUUAGGAAUCCGGUGCGUCCCUGUGCUGUGGCUCAUUUAGGGGUCUAGUUUAGAACAGAGUGCUCCUUAUUUUGAAGAAAGCAAAUAUAAAGGGCAUGUCACACCUAUUGAACAAAGUACUUUAGCAUCUGUAUAGAUGAAUACAGUUUAGAAAUAUACAUCCCAAUACUUAUACAAAUACAUGGUUUUUAACCACCUAUUUAAGCAGCAAGCCGCUCAGUUUCUCUGACAACUGAAAACUAUGUUAGGAAGGAGCAUGCAUAAAAUAGGAUGAAAUAAUUACGAUGUUAAUUCAUUUUCUUGUAACAGCAUAUUUUACUCAAUGGGCUGCAAUUUAAGGUCACACUUGUUCGUUGUUAAUUCUCUUUUGAUUCUUCUUUGCAACUGAAAUAAACACAUUAAUGAAAGUCUUUCCUUUUAACAUGAA